CGGGAUGUAGCGCAGCCCGGUAGCGCGCUUCGUUCGGGACGAAGAGGCCGCAAGUUCGAAUCUUGUCAUCCCGACGA
rnacentral:tRNA from 1 species